rnacentral:rRNA from 1 species
GGACCGGAGUGGACGCAUCACUGGUGUUCGGGUUGUCAUGCCAAUGGCAUUGCCCGGUAGCUAAAUGCGGAAGAGAUAAGUGCUGAAAGCAUCUAAGCACGAAACUUGCCCCGAGAUGAGUUCUCCCUGAGACUUUAAGUCUCCUGAAGGAACGUUGAAGACGACGACGUUGAUAGGCCGGGUGUGUAAGCGCAGCGAUGCGUUGAGCUAACCGGUACUAAUGAACCGUGAGGCUUAACCUU